rnacentral:rRNA from 1 species
UACGUAGGGCGCGAGCGUUGUCCGGAAUUAUUGGGCGUAAAGAGCUCGUAGGCGGUCUGUUGCGUCGGCUGUGAAAACCCGGGGCUCAACCCCGGGCCUGCAGCCGAUACGGGCAGACUAGAGUUCGGCAGGGGAGACUGGAAUUCCUGGUGUAGCGGUGAAAUGCGCAGAUAUCAGGAGGAACACCGGUGGCGAAGGCGGGUCUCUGGGCCGAUACUGACGCUGAGGAGCGAAAGCGUGGGGAGCGAACAGG